rnacentral:rRNA from 1 species
GCCAGACUCCUACGGGAGGCAGCAGUGGGGGAUAUUGCACAAUGGGGGGAACCCUGAUGCAGCGACGCCGCGUGGGUGAAGGAGCGUUUCGGCGCGUAAAGCCCUAUCGGCAGGGAAGAAGGAGGACGGUACCUGACUAAGAAGCCCCGGCUAACUACGUGCCAGCAGCCGCGGUAAUACGUAGGGGGCAAGCGUUAUCCGGAUUUACUGGGUGUAAAGGGGGCGCAGACGGCAGCGCAAGCCAGGAGUGAAAGCCCGGGGCCCAACCCCGGGACUGCUCUUGGAACUGCGCGGCUGGAGUGCAGGAGGGGCAGGCGGAAUUCCUGGUGUAGCGGUGAAAUGCGUAGAUAUCAGGAGGAACACCGGUGGCGAAGGCGGCCUGCUGGACUGCGACUGACGCUGAGGCGCGAAAGCGUGGGGAGCAAACAGGAUUAGAUACCCCAGUAUC